AGCGAACGCUAGCGGCAUGCCUCAAACAUGCAAGUCGCACGCGAAAGUGGCUUCGGCCAUUAGUAGAGUGGCGCACGGGUGAGUAACACGUAAUUAACUUCCCCUCUCGCUGGGGACAACUCCGGGAAACCGGAGCUAAUACCGAAUGAUCUCACUGGGACUGCGGUCCUGGUGGGUAAAGCCGUAAGGCGCGAGAGGAUAGGGUUGCGUCCGAUUAGCUAGUUGGUGGGGUAACGGCCUACCAAGGCGACGAUCGGUAGCUGGUCUGAGAGGAUGAUCAGCCACACUGGCACCGCGACACGGGCCAGACUCCUACGGGAGGCAGCAGUAAGGAAUAUUGCGCAAUGGGCGAAAGCCUGACGCAGCGACGCCGCGUGGGGGA
rnacentral:rRNA from 1 species